rnacentral:rRNA from 1 species
CUACCUGAUUCAGCGGCGGACGGGUGAGUAAUGCCUAGGAAUCUGCCCGGUAGUGGGGGACAACGUUUCGAAAGGAACGCUAAUACCGCAUACGUCCUACGGGAGAAAGUGGGGGAUCUUCGGACCUCACGCUAUCGGAUGAGCCUAGGUCGGAUUAGCUAGUUGGUGAGGUAAUGGCUCACCAAGGCGACGAUCCGUAACUGGUCUGAGAGGAUGAUCAGUCACACUGGAACUGAGACACGGUCCAGACUCCUACGGGAGGCAGCAGUGGGGAAUAUUGGACAAUGGGCGAAAGCCUGAUCCAGCCAUGCCGCGUGUGUGAAGAAGGUCUUCGGAUUGUAAAGCACUUUAAGUUGGGAGGAAGGGCAGUAAGUUAAUACCUUGCUGUUUUGACGUUACCAACAGAAUAAGCACCGGCUAACUUCGUGCCAGCAGCCGCGGUAAUACGAAGGGUGCAAGCGUUAAUCGGAAUUACUGGGCGUAAAGCGCGCGUAGGUGGUUCAGCAAGUUGGAUGUGAAAGCCCCGGGCUCAACCUGGGAACUGCAUCCAAAACUACUGAGCUAGAGUACGGUAGAGGGUGGUGGAAUUUCCUGUGUAGC